AAUAGAUACCCAGGUAGUCCACGCCGUAAACGGUGGGCGCUAGGUGUGGGGGACUUUCCACGUCCUCUGUGCCGCAGCUAACGCAUUAAGCGCCCCGCCUGGGGAGUACGGCCGCAAGGCUAAAACUCAAAGGAAUUGGCGGGGGGCCCGCACAAGCGGCGGAGCAUGUGGCUUAAUUCGACGCAACGCGAAGAACCUUACCAAGGCUUGACAUGCAGGGAAAUCUCGUAGAGAUACGGGGUCCGCAAGGGCUCUGCACAGGUGGUGCAUGGUUGUCGUCAGCUCGUGUCGUGAGAUGUUGGGUUAAGUCCCGCAACGAGCGCAACCCUUGUCCUAUGUUGCCAGCGAGUAAUGUCGGGGACUCAUAGGAGACUGCCGGGGUCAACUCGGAGGAAGGUGGGGAUGACGUCAAAUCAUCAUGCCCCUUAUGUCUUGGGCUGCACACAUGCUACAAUGGUCGGUACAAAGGGCUGCGAGACCGCAAGGUGGAGCGAAUCCCGAAAAAGCCGGCCUCAGUUCGGAUUGGGGUCUG
rnacentral:rRNA from 1 species